rnacentral:sRNA from 1 species
CUUACUGUACUCUAGGAUCAGUCUGCGAAGCCUGUGUAGACUGCCACGACUCAGAUUCUUGCACCAAUACACACACCACCAAGUACUAAGUCGCUUUCGGAUCUAUCGAAUGAUACCUCGCCUGCUCUACCAAGGCUUCUUCAAUGCCUGAAGUUCGCAACUAGCUUAAAUAAAAUAACUAACCCCGCAGAUAAACGUUGAAGAAGACAUCGACUGCUCUGCUGAUGCAGUGGGAGCUGUACUCGCUACAACAGCAAAAAUCUAAAAACUCAACAAACUCCUUUUAAACCAACCAAAUCUUUAAAAAGAAAAGAAGAAGACGCCCAACGCCGCUACAUAGAGAACAUUUUACCAUACAGCACAAGGCAUCCACUAUGGAGGGCCCAUCGAAAACCAAGCUCUCCACUAGAGUCCUGGUUUAAUGGACGCUAGACGGGCUUAUGCACAAAAGGACAAAGCUGCUGCCACAAAACACCCAUAACCUGCUCUGCUCUACAAAAGAUACUUUUCCGUAAGAGUUAUCUCUUGAUUUAUUUUCUGGUACUCCUUCUGGAUUUCUGGCCUUUCUCGAGUAAUCACCUGAAGAUUUUCCAUUUGCCUUGGGCGCUACAGUUGGAACUCUCCUUGCCGACCUGAACGGAAAUAUCUCGGGACCCCCGCAAGCUUCUGGUUUUCUUUGAUCUUAUACGAUUUCUAAAUAACACUUAAAAGCGCGCCAACACAUUUUCGGAACGGCAAAACCUUGCGAACCCUAUUUGUGCCUUACGUACAAAUGAGAACGAAAUGGGUUAUACACCUGAGAUCCAUUGUUUGGAUUAUCUAAAAAAAAAACCCAAGCUUUUCUGA